rnacentral:lncRNA from 1 species
CCUAGCCGAAGGCCUCAUUUCACAAACAUAUCUCACACAAUUAAUUGGACAAACAACAUUAUAUGGAGAUAAAAAUUAGCCCUUAAAGCCACGGGAGGCGCUCGAUCCAACAACAAAGUUCGACAAUUCUGGUGACACUCACAGUCAUGCACGGUUGUCAGCCGGUUCACCUUACCUAGGUGCUCAAAUUCAUGGUGAGACAUCAUCCAAAGCUCUUCGCAUUGAUAUAGGUCUACAGUCUACUCCGAAAGCAAAAUGAUUUGGAAUGACGGUUUUGGAAUGAUUUUUCACAAAAUUUGCAAAACAUAACCCGUCAGCAACAUCAAACAAUUACGGGUAUACCAUCAAUUGAAUUCAAUUUGAAUCACAAAUUGCUCUAGUUUUGGCUUCAAAUUUACCUAAUUCAACAUGCAAAUGACGUUCCAGUUUCUUCCAAUUUUCUAUUGAAUUUGAUUUGAUUUCUGAUUUUGAUAUUUGGGUGUGGCGACUGCCUUUUUCAAGGCAAUGUUGAUUUUGUGGGUAGUGAUGGCGGUGGCGAUUGGCGUUGUGUCCUACCAGUGUAGGCGAGUGUUGAGAAAGAAGGAAGUAUCGAUUGCCGAUCAUCAGCCUUUCUAUUUUUUCAUGACGGUGGGGUGGGUAAUUCUUUUAUUUUUGGGGUUAUUUAUUUAAUUAUUUUAUGUAAAAAAUGUAAAAUUAUCAUUUUGUCCUUUCAAAAUUCGUUAAAAUUGCGAUCAAGGCCAAUUGUUUGGCUAACUAAUGGUUAAGUGAAUGAUUUCCAUCCAUUUAGACAUCUAUUGCAUAUUUAUGAAAUGUUAUGAAUAUUUGUUGUCACAAAUUAAAUGUUAAGGUAAAUUUUGAAAAAAUUGAAAAGAUUAAGGACCUCUAUUGCAAUUUUCCCAAAAUUAAAGUAUCCAUUCUUUCUUGCUAGUUGCUCCAUUAAGUCUCUAUUUUACAAUCUUUAUUUGAAAACCCUUUUUUUAAAUGCUCAUUUUUAAUCAUAUAAUCACACAAUAAUACUUCUUGCAGUAAAUUCAAAAUUAUUUUUGUACAUUUUAAAUGCAAAAUUUUCAAAAAUUUACUAUUCAAAAUAUUAUUUUUUCUAAG